AUUGAACGCUGGCGGCAUGCUUUACACAUGCAAGUCGAACGGUAACAGGGAGCUUGCUCCGCUGACGAGUGGCGAACGGGUGAGUAAUGCGUCGGAACGUGCCGAGUAGUGGGGGAUAACGCAUCGAAAGGUGUGCUAAUACCGCAUACGAACUGAGGUUGUGAGUGGGGGACCUUCGGGCCUCACGCUAUUCGAGCGGCCGACGUCUGAUUAGCUAGUUGGCGAGGUAAAGGCUCACCAAGGCGACGAUCAGUAGCGGGUCUGAGAGGAUGAUCCGCCACACUGGGACUGAGACACGGCCCAGACUCCUACGGGAGGCAGCAGUGGGGAAUUUUGGACAAUGGGCGCAAGCCUGAUCCAGCCAUGCCGCGUGUCUGAAGAAGGCCUUCGGGUUGUAAAGGACUUUUGUCCGGGAGCAAAUGCUGGUGGCUAACAUCCACCGGAGCUGAGAGUACCGGAAGAAUAAGCACCGGCUAACUACGUGCCAGCCGCCGCGGUAACAC
rnacentral:rRNA from 1 species